rnacentral:rRNA from 1 species
GAGGCCUGCCUGCCCAGUGACAAACGUUCAACGGCCGCGGUAUCCUGACCGUGCAAAGGUAGCAUAAUCACUUGUUCCUUAAUUGGGGACUGGAAUGAAUGGCCUCACGAGGAUUCAACUGUCUCUUACCUCUAAUCAGUGAAAUUGACCUCCCCGUGAAGAGGCGGGGAUUCAACAACAAGACGAGAAGACCCUAUGGAGCUUUAAUUUUCUGUCUUAACUACUAAAUAACUAACCCUACUGGGAUAAAAAGAAAGAGAAGUAAGUCAGUAAUUUCGGUUGGGGUGACCUCGGAGAAUAAAACAACCUCCGAAUGAUUUUAACCAAGACAAACAAGUCAAAGUAUUAAAAAUCAAAUUGACCCAAUUCAUUUGAUCAACGGACCAAGUUACCCUAGGGAUAACAGCGCAAUCCUAUUCAAGAGUCCAUAUCGACAAUUAGGGUUUACGACCUCGAUGUUGGAUCAGGACAUCCCAAUGGUGCAGCAGCUAUUAACGGUUCGUUUGUUCAACGAUUAAAGUCCUACGUGAUCUG